UUAAGCUAAGAAGAGCGUAGGGAGAAUGCCUUGGCAUUAGGAGCCGAUGAAGGACGUGAUAAGCUGCGAUAAGCUGCGGGGAUCAGCAAGUAUGAAUUGAUCCGCAGAUUUCCGAAUGGAGCAAUCCGUAUGUGUAUGCACAUACAUCAUAUACUGAAUCAAAUAGGUAUAUGAGGGGAACCGCCUGAACUGAAACAUCUAAGUAGGGCGAGGAAAAGAAAUCAACCGAGAUUCUGUGAGUAGUGGCGAGCGAAAGCGGAAGAGGCUAAACCAUAGGUAGCAAUACUUAUGGGGUUUCGGACAGCAUUUAGCAUUGAUAAUUUCUAGUUGAAACGUGUGGGAAAACGUACCGAAGAGUGUGAGAGUCACGUAAGCGAAAGAGAAAGUCAGCGAGCUGUAUCCAAAGUACCGCGGGACACGUGAAACCCCGUGGGAAGAUGGGGGGACCAUCCUCCAAGCCUAAAUACUACCUAAUGACCGAUAGCGAAUAGUACUGUGAAGGAACGGUGAAAAGAACCCCGGGAGGGGAGUGAAAAAGAACCUGAAACCCUAUGCUUACAAGCACCGAGAGCACGUCAAAGUGUGAUCGGGUACCUUUUGUAGAAUGGUCCGGCGAGUUAUUGUAUGCGGCAAGGUUAAGUGCUUAAGGCACGGAGCCGAAGCGAGAGCAAGUCUGAAUAGGGCGAAAAAGUCGUAUGCAAUAGACCCGAAACCGAGUGACCUAUCCAUGUCCAGGCUGAAGUGGAGGUAAAACUCCAUGGAGGGCCGAACACACGUCCGUUGAAAAGGCCGGUGAUGAGGUGUGGAUAGCGGAGAAAUUCCAAUCGAACUCGGAUAUAGCUGGUUCUCUCCGAAAUAGCUUUAGGGCUAGCCUCGUGAAAGAUUACUGGAGGUAAAGCACUGAAUGGGCUAGGGGUCGAAAGAUUACUGAACCCUAUCAAACUAAGAAUGCCAGAUAAUUGAUUCACGGGAGUCAGACAAUGUGAGAUAAGUCUCAUUGUCAAAAGGGAAACAGCCCAGACCCACAGCUAAGGUCCCUAAACAUUGUUAAGUGGAAAAGGAUGUGGGGUUGCAUAAACAACCAGGAUGUUGGCUUAGAAGCAGCCACUCAUUAAAAGAGUGCGUAAUAGCUCACUGGUCGAGUGACUCUGCGCCGAAAAUUCAACGGGGCUAAAAUUCAUACCGAAGCUUGGGCUUGACAGAAAUGUCAGGGGUAGGGGAGCGUCGUAUACGAGGUGAAGUCAUAGCGGAAGCGGUGGUGGAUUGUAUACGAGUGAGAAUGCCGGAAUGAGUAGCGAGAAUUAUGUGAGAAUCAUAAUGGCCGAAAAUCUAAGGUUUCCUGAGGAAGGUUCGUCCGCUCAGGGUAAGCCGGGGGCUAAGGCGAGGCGGAGACGCGUAGCCGAUGCACAUACGGUUGAAAUUCCGUAGCCACCGAAAGAUUUAAGUACAGGGACGCUUUAGAAGUGAUGUCGCCGGGCGAUGGUUGACCCGGUCGUAAGGGAUCGAAAAUGAGUAGAGAAGUCAUCAUGGAAAGAGACAAGAAAAGCUGUAUGAAUAUCUUAGGUGCCCGUACCGCAAACCGACACAGGUAGAUAGGAAGAAGAUUCUAAGGCCAACGGGAGAAGGGUUGUUAAGGAACUCGGCAAGUUGACCCCGUAACUUAGGGAUAAGGGGUGCUCAAGUGAUUGAGCCGCAGAGAAUAGGCCCAGGCGACUGUUUAGCAAAAACACAGGUCUCUGCUAAAUCGAAAGAUGACGUAUAGGGGCUGACACCUGCCCGGUGCCGGAAGGUUAAGAGGAGAUGUGAGAGCAUUGAAUUGAAGCCCCGGUAAACGGCGGCCGUAACUAUAACGGUCCUAAGGUAGCGAAAUUCCUUGUCGGGU
rnacentral:rRNA from 1 species